UUAAGUUAAUAAGGGCGCACGGUGGAUGCCUUGGCACUAGAAGCCGAUGAAGGACGUGACUAACAACGAAAUGCUUUGGGGAGCUGUAAGUGAGCAAUGAUCCAGAGAUGUCCGAAUGGGGGAACCCGGCAGGUAAUGCCUGUCACUCAUUACUGUUAAGGUAAUGUAGAGGAAGACGCAGUGAACUGAAACAUCUAAGUAGCUGCAGGAAGAGAAAGCAAAAGCGAUUGCCUUAGUAGCGGCGAGCGAAACGGCAAGAGGGCAAACCGAAGAGUUUACUCUUCGGGGUUGUAGGACUGCAACGUGGACUUAAAGAUUAUAGAAGAACUACCUGGGAAGGUAGGCCAAAGAGAGUAAUAGCCUCGUAUUCGAAAUAGUCUUUAUACCUAGCAGUAUCCUGAGUACGGCGAGACACGAGAAAUCUCGUCGGAAUCUGGGAGGACCAUCUCCCAACCCUAAAUACUCUCUAGUGACCGAUAGUGAACCAGUACCGUGAGGGAAAGGUGAAAAGCACCCCGGGAGGGGAGUGAAAUAGAACCUGAAACCGUGUGCCUACAACAAGUUCGAGCCCGUUAAUGGGUGAGAGCGUGCCUUUUGUAGAAUGAACCGGCGAGUUACGAUAUGAUGCGAGGUUAAGUUGAAGAGACGGAGCCGUAGGGAAACCGAGUCUUAAUAGGGCGCAUUAGUAUCAUGUCGUAGACCCGAAACCAUGUGACCUACCCAUGAGCAGGUUGAAGGUGAGGUAAAACUCACUGGAGGACCGAACCAGGGCACGUUGAAAAGUGCUUGGAUGACUUGUGGGUAGCGGAGAAAUUCCAAACGAACUUGGAGAUAGCUGGUUCUCUCCGAAAUAGCUUUAGGGCUAGCGUCGAUGUUAAGUCUCUUGGAGGUAGAGCACUGUUUGGGUGAGGGGUCCAUCCCGGAUUACCAAUCUCAGAUAAACUCCGAAUGCCAAUGAGAUAUAAUCGGCAGUCAGACUGCGAGUGCUAAGAUCCGUAGUCGAAAGGGAAACAGCCCAGACCACCAGCUAAGGUCCCAAAAUAUAUGUUAAGUGGAAAAGGAUGUGGGGUUGCACAGACAACUAGGAUGUUAGCUUAGAAGCAGCUAUUCAUUCAAAGAGUGCGUAAUAGCUCACUAGUCGAGUGACCCUGCGCCGAAAAUGUACCGGGGCUAAAACAUAUUACCGAAGCUGUGGAUACCUUUAUAGGUAUGGUAGGAGAGCGUUCUAUGUGCGAAGAAGGUGUACCGUGAGGAGUGCUGGAGCGCAUAGAAGUGAGAAUGCCGGUAUGAGUAGCGAAAGACAGGUGAGAAUCCUGUCCACCGUAAGACUAAGGUUUCCAGGGGAAGGCUCGUCCGCCCUGGGUUAGUCGGGACCUAAGGAGAGACCGAAAGGUGUAUCCGAUGGACAACAGGUUGAUAUUCCUGUACUAGAGUAUAUAGUGAUGGAGGGACGCAGUAGGCUAACUAAACCAGACGAUUGGAAGUGUCUGGCCAAGCAGUGAGGUGUGAUAUGAGUCAAAUGCUUAUAUCUCUAACAUUGAGCUGUGAUGGGGAGCGAAGUUUAGUAGCGAAGUUAGUGAUGUCACACUGCCGAGAAAAGCUUCUAGCGUUAAUUAUACUCUACCCGUACCGCAAACCGACACAGGUAGUCGAGGCGAGUAGCCUCAGGUGAGCGAGAGAACUCUCGUUAAGGAACUCGGCAAAAUGGCCCCGUAACUUCGGGAGAAGGGGCGCUGACUGAUGGUCAGCCGCAGUGAAUAGGCCCAAGCAACUGUUUAUCAAAAACACAGCUCUCUGCUAAAUCGUAAGAUGAUGUAUAGGGGGUGACGCCUGCCCGGUGCUGGAAGGUUAAGAGGAGUGCUUAGCGUAAGCGAAGGUAUGAAUUGAAGCCCCAGUAAACGGCGGCCGUAACUAUAACGGUCCUAAGGUAGCGAAAUUCCUUGUCGGGUAAGUUCCGACCCGCACGAAAGGCGUAAUGAUUUGGGCACUGUCUCAACGAGAGACUCGGUGAAAUUUUAGUACCUGUGAAGAUGCAGGUUACCCGCGACAGGACGGAAAGACCCCAUGGAGCUUUACUGCAGUUUGAUAUUGAGUAUCUGUACCACAUGUACAGGAUAGGUAGGAGCCUAUGACCUCGGGACGCCAGUUUCGAGUGAGGCGUUGUUGGGAUACUACCCUUGUGUUAUGGCUACUCUAACCCAGAUAGGUUAUCCCUAUCGGAGACAGUGUCUGACGGGCAGUUUGACUGGGGCGGUCGCCUCCUAAAAGGUAACGGAGGCGCCCAAAGGUUCCCUCAGAAUGGUUGGAAAUCAUUCGCAGAGUGUAAAGGUAUAAGGGAGCUUGACUGCGAGAGCUACAACUCGAGCAGGGACGAAAGUCGGGCUUAGUGAUCCGGUGGUUCCGUAUGGAAGGGCCAUCGCUCAACGGAUAAAAGCUACCCUGGGGAUAACAGGCUUAUCUCCCCCAAGAGUUCACAUCGACGGGGAGGUUUGGCACCUCGAUGUCGGCUCGUCGCAUCCUGGGGCUGUAGUCGGUCCCAAGGGUUGGGCUGUUCGCCCAUUAAAGCGGCACGCGAGCUGGGUUCAGAACGUCGUGAGACAGUUCGGUCCCUAUCCGUCGCGGGCGUAGGAAAUUUGAGAGGAUCUGCUCCUAGUACGAGAGGACCAGAGUGGACUUACCGCUGGUGUACCAGUUGUUCUGCCAAGAGCAUCGCUGGGUAGCUAUGUAGGGAAGGGAUAAACGCUGAAAGCAUCUAAGUGUGAAGCCCACCUCAAGAUGAGAUUUCCCAUGAUUUUAUAUCAGUAAGAGCCCUGAGAGAUGAUCAGGUUGAUAGGUUAGAAGUGGAAGUGUGGUGACACAUGUAGCGGACUAAUACUAAUAGCUCGAGGACUUAUCCAA
rnacentral:rRNA from 2 species